rnacentral:rRNA from 1 species
UGGGGAAUUUUGGACAAUGGGCGCAAGCCUGAUCCAGCAAUGCCACGUGCAGGAUGAAGGCCUUCGGGUUGUAAACUGCUUUUGUACGGAACGAAAAAGCUUCUCCUAAUACGAGAGGCCCAUGACGGUACCGUAAGAAUAAGCACCGGCUAACUACGUGCCAGCAGCCGCGGUAAUACGUAGGGUGCGAGCGUUAAUCGGAAUUACUGGGCGUAAAGCGUGCGCAGGCGGUUAUGUAAGACAGAUGUGAAAUCCCCGGGCUCAACCUGGGAACUGCAUUGGUGACUGCAUGGCUAGAGUACGGUAGAGGGGGAUGGAAUUCCGCGUGUAGCAGUGAAAUGCGUAGAUAUGCGGAGGAACACCGAUGGCGAAGGCAAUCCCCUGGACCUGUACUGACGCUCACGCACGAAAGCGUGGGGAGCAAACA